GACGGAGGAUGCAAGCGUUAUCCGGAAUGAUUGGGCGUAAAGCGUGCGCAGGCGGUUUUGUAAGUUUGUCGUGAAAGCCCCGGGCUCAACCUGGGAAUUGCGAUGAAGACUGCAAGGCUUGAAUCUGGCAGAGGGGGGUAGAAUUCCACGUGUAGCAGUGAAAUGCGUAGAGAUGUGGAGGAACACCGAUGACGAAGGCAGCCCCCUGGGCCAACACUGACGCUCAUGCACGAAAGCGUGGGGAGCAAACAGG
rnacentral:rRNA from 1 species